CACAUGCAGUCGAGCGGAACGAGUUAUCUGAACCUUCGGGGGACGAUAACGGCGUCGAGCGGCGGACGGGUGAGUAAUGCCUAGGAAAUUGCCCUGAUGUGGGGGAUAACCAUUGGAAACGAUGGCUAAUACCGCAUGAUGCCUACGGGCCAAAGAGGGGGACCUUCGGGCCUCUCGCGUCAGGAUAUGCCUAGGUGGGAUUAGCUAGUUGGUGAGGUAAGGGCUCACCAAGGCGACGAUCCCUAGCUGGUCUGAGAGGAUGAUCAGCCACACUGGAACUGAGACACGGUCCAGACUCCUACGGGAGGCAGCAGUGGGGAAUAUUGCACAAUGGGCGCAAGCCUGAUGCAGCCAUGCCGCGUGUGUGAAGAAGGCCUUCGGGUUGUAAAGCACUUUCAGUCGUGAGGAAGGUGGUGUAGUUAAUAGCUGCAUUAUUUGACGUUAGCGACAGAAGAAGCACCGGCUAACUCCGUGCCAGCAGCCGCGGUAAUACGGAGGGUGCGAGCGUUAAUCGGAAUUACUGGGCGUAAAGCGCAUGCAGGUGGUUUGUUAAGUCAGAUGUGAAAGCCCGGGGCUCAACCUCGGAAUAGCAUUUGAAACUGGCAGACUAGAGUACUGUAGAGGGGGGUAGAAUUUCAGGUGUAGCGGUGAAAUGCGUAGAGAUCUGAAGGAAUACCGGUGGCGAAGGCGGCCCCCUGGACAGAUACUGACACUCAGAUGCGAAAGCGUGGGGAGCAAACAGGAUUAGAUACCCUGGUAGUCCACGCCGUAAACGAUGUCUACUUGGAGGUUGUGGCCUUGAGCCGUGGCUUUCGGAGCUAACGCGUUAAGUAGACCGCCUGGGGAGUACGGUCGCAAGAUUAAAACUCAAAUGAAUUGACGGGGGCCCGCACAAGCGGUGGAGCAUGUGGUUUAAUUCGAUGCAACGCGAAAAACCUUACCUACUCUUGACAUCCAGAGACU
rnacentral:rRNA from 1 species